rnacentral:pre_miRNA from 1 species
GUGAGCAGGAGGCCAGGGCAGGGCAUGGGGAGCUGCGGGGCCAUUGGAGGGGCCCCAGCAUCUGAGCCCUGUCCUCUUGCAGG